rnacentral:rRNA from 1 species
UACGUAGGUGGCAAGCGUUGUCCGGAAUUAUUGGGCGUAAAGCGCGCGCAGGCGGUCCUUUAAGUCUGAUGUGAAAGCCCACGGCUCAACCGUGGAGGGUCAUUGGAAACUGGAGGACUUGAGUGCAGAAGAGGAAAGUGGAAUUCCAAGUGUAGCGGUGAAAUGCGUAGAGAUUUGGAGGAACACCAGUGGCGAAGGCGACUUUCUGGUCUGUAACUGACGCUGAGGCGCGGAAGCGUGGGGAGCAAACAGG